ensembl:piRNA 21ur-1032 ncRNA
UGUGAACUGUUGAUUUCGUGC